UGGGGAAUUUUGCGCAAUGGGGGAAACCCUGACGCAGCAACGCCGCGUGGACGAUGAAGCAUCUUGGUGUGUAAAGUCCUUUCGGCAGGGACGAAUUAAAUGACGGUACCUGCAGAAGAAGCCCCGGCUAACUCCGUGCCAGCAGCCGCGGUAAUACGAGGGGGGCAAGCGUUGUUCGGAAUUAUUGGGCGUAAAGGGCGCGUAGGCGGUGUGGCAAGUCAGGUGUGAAACCUCCAGGCUCAACUUGGAGCUUGCAUCUGAAACUGCCGUGCUAGAGUGUGGGAGAGGAGAGUGGAAUUCCUGGUGUAGCGGUGAAAUGCGUAGAUAUCAGGAGGAACACCGGUGGCGAAGGCGGCUCUCUGGACCACAACUGACGCUGAGGCGCGAAAGCUAGGGGAGCAAACAGGAUUAGAUACCCCCGUAGUCC
rnacentral:rRNA from 1 species